CCUACGUGAGGCAGCAGUGAGGAAUAUUGGUCAAUGUGCGCGAGCCUGAACCAGCCAAGUAGCGUGAAGGAUGACUGCCCUACGGGUUGUAAACUUCUUUUAUAAAGGAAUAAAGUGAGGCACGUGUGCCUUUUUGUAUGUACUUUAUGAAUAAGGAUCGGCUAACUCCGUGCCAGCAGCCGCGGUAAUACGGAGGAUCCGAGCGUUAUCCGGAUUUAUUGGGUUUAAAGGGAGCGUAGAUGGGUUGUUAAGUCAGUUGUGAAAGUUUGCGGCUCAACCGUAAAAUUGCAAUUGAUACUGGCAGUCUUGAGUACAGUUGAGGUAGGCGGAAUUCGUGGUGUAGCGGUGAAAUGCUUAGAUAUCACGAAGAACUCCGAUUGCGAAGGCAGCUUACUAAACUGCCACUGACAUUGAUGCUCAAAAGUGUGGGUAUCAAACAGGAUUAGAUACCCCAGUAGUC
rnacentral:rRNA from 1 species